AACGAACGCUGGCGGCAUGCCUAACACAUGCAAGUCGAACGAGACCUUCGGGUCUAGUGGCGCACGGGUGCGUAACGCGUGGGAACCUGCCCUUAGGUUCGGAAUAACUCCCCGAAAGGGGUGCUAAUACCGGAUAAUGUCUUCGGACCAAAGAUUUAUCGCCUUUGGAUGGGCCCGCGUUGGAUUAGCUAGUUGGUAGGGUAAAAGCCUACCAAGGCGACGAUCCAUAGCUGGUCUGAGAGGAUGAUCAGCCACACUGGGACUGAGACACGGCCCAGACUCCUACGGGAGGCAGCAGUGGGGAAUAUUGGAAAAUGGGCGAAAGCCUGAUCCAGCAAUGCCGCGUGAGUGAUGAAGGCCUUAGGGUUGUAAAGCUCUUUUAACCGGGAUGAUAAUGACAGUACCGGGAGAAUAAGCUCCGGCUAACUCCGUG
rnacentral:rRNA from 1 species